rnacentral:rRNA from 1 species
UUUUCAGAGAGGUGGUGCAUGGCCGUCGUCAGUUCGUACUGUAAAGCGUUCUGUUAAGUCAGAUAACGAACGAGACCNUCAUCUCUAUUUGCUACCUGUCUCUCCGGAGACGGCGCACUAUAGGGAGACCGCUGGUGUUAAACCAGAGGAAGGCGAGGGCAACGACAGGUCAGUAUGCCCCGAAUGUCCUGGGCUACACGCGCGCUACAAAGGACGGGACAAUGGGAAGCUAGGCCGAGAGGCCACGCUAACCCGAAACCCGUUCGUAGUUCGGAUUGAGGGCUGUAACUCGCCCUCAUGAAGCUGGAUUCCGUAGUAAUCGUGUUUCAACAUAGCACGGUGAAUAUGCCCCUGCUCCUUGCACACACCGCCCGUCAAACCAUC